UACGAAGGGGGCUAGCGUUGUUCGGAAUUACUGGGCGUAAAGCGCACGUAGGCGGAUUGUUAAGUCAGAGGUGAAAUCCCGGAGCUCAACUUCGGAACUGCCUUUGAUACUGGCAAUCUAGAGUCCGGAAGAGGUUAAUGGAAUUCCCAGUGUAGAGGUGGAAUUCGUAGAUAUUAGGAAGAACACCAGUGGCGAAGGCGGCUCACUGGUCCGGUACUGACGCUGAGGUGCGAAAGCGUGGGGAGCAAACAGG
rnacentral:rRNA from 1 species